rnacentral:rRNA from 1 species
GACAGAGGAUGCAAGCGUUAUCCGGAAUGAUUGGGCGUAAAGCGUCUAUAGGUGGCUUUUUAAGUCUGCCGUCAAAUCCCAGGGCUUAACCCUGGACAGGCGGUGGAAACUACCAAGCUGGAGUACGGUAGGGGCAGAGGGAAUUUCCGGUGGAGCGGUGAAAUGCGUAGAGAUCGGAAAGAACACCAACGGCGAAGGCACUCUGCUGGGCCGACACUGACACUGAGAGACGAAAGCUAGGGGAGCAAAUGGG